GCGCACAAAUCCAUCCAAUGUAAGAUGCUCAGGGCGCUUGAAAUGUGGACUAGGAACUCGAUCAAUGACUUUCUUCGCCCCUAAGGGUCCCUUUGUGUCUGUGCUACCCGGUAACCCGGUACCAGCAACUCUCGUGUCGUCCACCAGAAUCCGCUUCUAGAGUAAAGAUCAUUCCCCAGCUGACUGGAAAGCUAACUGUGCAUUCUAUUAAUUUAACACAAGAAAUGUA